UACGUAGGGUGCAAGCGUUAUCCGGAAUUAUUGGGCGUAAAGAGCUCGUAGGCGGUUUGUCGCGUCUGCUGUGAAAACUGGGGGCUCAACCCCCAGCCUGCAGUGGGUACGGGCAGACUAGAGUGCGGUAGGGGAGAUUGGAAUUCCUGGUGUAGCGGUGGAAUGCGCAGAUAUCAGGAGGAACACCGAUGGCGAAGGCAGAUCUCUGGGCCGUAACUGACGCUGAGGAGCGAAAGCCAGGGGAGCAAACGGGG
rnacentral:rRNA from 1 species